rnacentral:rRNA from 1 species
AUUGAACGCUGGCGGCAUGCCUAACACAUGCAAGUCGAGCGAACGCACGAGAAGCUUGCUUCUCUGAUGGUAGCGGCGGACGUAUGAGUAACGCAUGGAUCACCUACCUAUAAGUCUGGGAUAGCUUCGGGAACCCAUAGCUAAUACCAGAUGAUAUUUUGAACCGCAUGCUUCAAAAGUGUAUGACUGUCUUGCUGUCACUUAUAGAUGGAUCCGCGCUGCAUUAGCUAGUUGGUAAGGUAACGGCUUACCAAGGCAACGAUGCAUAGCCGACCUGAGAGGGUGAUCGGCCACACUGGAACUGAGACACGGUCCAGACUCCUACGGGAGGCAGCAGUAGGGAAUCUUCCACAAUGGGCGAAAGCCUGACGGAGCAAUGCCGCGUGAGUGAUGAAGGCCUUCGGAUCGUAAAACUCUGUUGUUAGGGAAGAAAAUAUGUGUAAGAAAAUGUGCACAACUUGACGGUACCGAAUCAGAAAGCCACGGCUAACUACGUG